rnacentral:rRNA from 1 species
GACGAACGCUGGCGGCGUGCCUAAUACAUGCAAGUCGAGCGGACCCUUUUAGGGUUAGCGGCGGACGGGUGAGUAACACGUAGGCAACCUGCCUGUAAGACUGGGAUAACUACCGGAAACGGUAGCUAAGACCGGAUAGGUGGUUUCCCCGCAUGGGGAGAUCAAGAAACACGGAGCAAUCUGUGGCUUACAGAUGGGCCUGCGGCGCAUUAGCUAGUAGGUGAGGUAACGGCUCACCUAGGCGACGAUGCGUAGCCGACCUGAGAGGGUGAUCGGCCACACUGGGACUGAGACACGGCCCAGACUCCUACGGGUGGCAG